UACGAGGGGUGCAAGCGUUGUUCGGAAUCACUGGGCGUAAAGGGAGCGUAGGCGGAACUCCAAGUCGGUCGUACAAUGCCAGGGCCCAACCCUGGACCUGCGGCCGAGACUGGUUUUCUUGAGUUAUUCAGAGGCAAGCGGAAUUCCUAGUGUAGCGGUGGAAUGCGUAGAGAUUAGGAAGAACACCAAUGGCGAAGGCAGCUUGCUGGGGAUUAACUGACGCUGAGGCGCGAAAGCGUGGGGAGCAAACAGG
rnacentral:rRNA from 1 species